CAGCACUUGAUUUAGCCUGCUUUCAAUUUUUCCUGAUUAGAACUACAGCUGCUAGGAACAUCCCUGUGCAAAUCUUUGUACAGACAUAUACGGUUUUUCCUCUCUGGGGUAAAUACCUGGAAGUGGAAUGCCCAGGUCGUAAGUCAUGAUGGCUGGAGCACUGGCAAUCUUCUGGUAUACAUGAAGAUGAGACCCACAUCUUGAUUUUAAAGAAGUAGAAGACAUGAAGGAGCCCAGGAUUCUGAAGACAGUGUGGA
rnacentral:lncRNA from 10 species